rnacentral:rRNA from 1 species
UACGUAGGGGGCAAGCGUUGUCCGGAAUCAUUGGGCGUAAAGCGCGUGUAGGCGGCUCGGUAAGUCUGCUGUGAAAGUCCAGGGCUCAACCCUGGGAUGCCGGUCGAUACUGCCGGACUAGAGUUCGGAAGAGGCGAGUGGAAUUCCCGGUGUAGCGGUGAAAUGCGCAGAUAUCGGGAGGAACACCUAUGGCGAAGGCAGCUCGCUGGGACGUUACUGACGCUGGAGACGCGAAAGCGUGGGGAGCAAACAGG